rnacentral:rRNA from 1 species
UACGUAGGGUGCGAGCGUUUAAUCGGAAUUACUGGGCGUAAAGCGUGCGUAGGCGGUUCGUUAAGUUCGUUGUGAAAGCCCCGGGCUCAACCUGGGAAUGGCAAUGGAAACUGGCGGGCUGGAGUAUGGCAGAGGGGGGUGGAAUUCCGCGUGUAGCGGUGAAAUGCUUAGAUAUGACAUAGAACACCAAUUGCGGAGGCAGCUGGCUACAGGGAUAUUGACACUGAGGCACGAAAGCGUGGGGAUCAAACAGG